GACAUUUGGUCCGAUGAUGUCGAAAAGUUUCUUCUCGAAGAAAGAAGAACGAAUCUAACAUGGAAGUUUAUAACCAAUCAGCUUGAUAUGGACUGUGUUUGAUACCUGAAAAUCGGGUUUCAUGUUGCUGAUGUACAUGUCAUGAUACUGACAGAUCGCUAUGUCAUCUUAUUGGAAGAAACACGAAGUGGAGCUUUUUGGAAACCCGACAAAGAUAUCAAAGCCGCUGUCAACAUGAAAGAACAUUAUGGAAGAAUUGCCAGCCGUUAAGCGUUCAGGUGUCAGGUGUUUGUUUCGAAAAUGAAACAACGAGGGUCGUCAUGGUGGUUUUCCCGGAGACCCAGCCGAAUGCGAAGCUCGUGAAGAAACAGCGUACUACUUCAUGAGAACCACGGAUUGUGCACACUGAGGGCAAACCCUACCAGAAACAGAGUUAGGGCCUCUAGUAUGAUAUUGUCUAGACAGGAUGUCUAUCAACUCGUCAUUACCGUCUGACAUUAACACAUCUGCGAGAAAGGACCUUUAUUGGAUAGGGAAUCCUCAGAAUGUAUAACAAUGAGCCUAUAUUCAAGUUGUAGCUCAAAAGUUCUACAACUGAGGAUUUUCCUGAACAUCAAAUCAGCAUGGAAUGCUUUAUAGGCCAACGUAGAUGCCUAAUGCGAAAUGUGGAAGAUGCCUAACAAAUUGUGAAUGCUACUCUGAUUAGACACAUUUGGAACUUAAGGUUUCUCGUGUUGGUUACUUCAAAGCAGUAAUAAUUGUACUACAAAAAAUAUGCAAGGCAUGCUGGUCUGUUCUUCUCAAUGACGAGACGAGUAGAAUCGAUCAAUUAACACUAAGGAAACCUAAGGUUACCUACAACUGAUGAGGUUGAUUUGGUCAUCAAGCUUCCAUCUUUAUGUAUCUAAAACCUGCAGAUCUUAUGUCUUAUUAUUUGACCAACUAUUGUGAAUCAAAUCAAGGUGCUGGUCGUGUGCGUUGAACAUCAACAUUUGGCGCUGGUUCACAAAUGUUAUAUUUUACUUAUUAUUGUGCCGGCUUUUGCCAUCCUGGCUAUGUGAAAACUGCUGUGUAACUUAUUACAUGAUCAGCUUAGGAGUCUUUGGAGAUGGUUAUACCUGAUGAAACACUGCUGAAAGAAAACCAUUUGCCUAUGGAUAAUAGUAACCCUAAGUGCAUCAAAAUAUCGUUCCUCAAAAAAAGUUUCUAGAAUUUCGCCAUCAAAGUUAUGAGGAAACUAGUGGAGCUUCUCAAUUCAUGAUGAACUAAGGAUUCUCGAUCGCCAUUGGAGAUGUUGCAUUUGAUGAGGCAGGCGAUAGCGAAUGUAAUCCAUUGCUAUACAGUGUGCAAUCGCAGCAUCUCGAGUGUCAAUAGUGCAAUUCGCACAUGGAACGAUGUUUCAACAAAUACGAAUCCAGACGUCUUUGCGGUUCAACGUUGGAAAACGAAAUAGGGAGCGAUUAUGGCGUCUUGCGCAGUAUGUUCCAUUACGAUCCUGGUAACUGAACAUAUUGCAAGCGAUUUUGUAUUUGUAUCCGGACAUUGGAACCAUUUUAAGUAGUACUCUUUAUUUGUUCCUCGUGCUACCACAUGAAACCUCUCGUUGUUUAUUUAGGACAAUGUAACCGAUGUAUGCUGGUACAAUUUUGUACAGGUAGUCUUAAAGAGAGGGAAUUCUGCCUUAUGUUGAAAAACAAUGUGCAUGUCCUCGUUCUCCGUACCAUAUUAAACGUCGGCAAGUUGA